UUACAGGAGGAAGUCUAACGGGGGCUGUGUUUAAUCCAGCGCUGGCACUUUCACUACAUUUUAACUGUUUUGAUGAAGCAUUCCCUCAAUUCUUUAUAGUGUAUUGUCUGGCUCCUUCUUUAGGUAUAUUGUUGAUGGGUCUGAUGUUCAACCUUUUCCUUCCCUGGCUGCACAACAACCAUGUGCUUAGUAAAAGGGAAUGAAUAUUUCCAAAGACUCAGACUAAGUCACAUGGCCAUCCAGCUGGACGUGGUGUGGUUUUUUUUAUCACCUCACAUUCAACACAAUGGCUGCAAUGGAGCCUCUUCACUGUUAAGCUUCCUUUGAAGAAGCUGUCUUAUAGUUUCCAACACCAUGGGGACUUAAAAAAAAACUGAUGUGAAGUAUCCUGUGUUUCUCAGUUACGAGGGGUUCUUUUGAUUAAUGUAUUAAAUGCUGCUAGAAAAGAUUCAUUAAAUAUAAAUCUCAAGUGAUAA